AUACGGAGGGUGCAAGCGUUAUUCGGAAUCACUGGGCGUAAAGGACGCGUAGGCGGGUUGGCAAGUCAGAUGUGAAAUCCUACAGCUUAACUGUAGAACUGCAUUUGAAACUGCUAACCUAGAGUAUGGGAGGGGGAGAUGGAAUUAGUGGUGUAGGGGUAAAAUCCGUAGAUAUCACUACGAAUACCGAAAGCGAAGGCGAUCUCCUGGAACAUAACUGACGCUAAGGCGUGAAAGCGUGGGGAGCAAACAGGAUUAGAAACCCUAGUAGUCC
rnacentral:rRNA from 1 species